GAUGAACGCUGGCGGCGUGCCUAAUACAUGCAAGUCGAGCGAAUGGAUUAAGAGCUUGCUCUUAUGAAGUUAGCGGCGGACGGGUGAGUAACACGUGGGUAACCUGCCCAUAAGACUGGGAUAACUCCGGGAAACCGGGGCUAAUACCGGAUAACAUUUUGAACCGCAUGGUUCGAAAUUGAAAGGCGGCUUCGGCUGUCACUUAUGGAUGGACCCGCGUCGCAUUAGCUAGUUGGUGAGGUAACGGCUCACCAAGGCAACGAUGCGUAGCCGGCCUGAGGGGGUGAUCGGCCACACUGGGACUGAGACACGGCCCAGACUCCUACGGGAGGCAGCAGUAGGGAAUCUUCCGCAAGGGACGAAAGUCUGACGGAGCAACGCCGCGUGAGUGAUGAAGGCUUUCGGGUCGUAAAACUCUGUUGUUAGGGAAGAACAAGUGCUAGUUGAAUAAGCUGGCACCUUGACGGUACCUAACCAGAAAGCCACGGCUAACUACGUGCCAGCCGCCGCGGUAA
rnacentral:rRNA from 1 species